CACGUAGAAGACUAGUGUUAUUCAUCUUUAUUAGGUUUAAAGGGUACCUAGACGGAAAAUCAAGCCAUUAUAGGAACUAAUUUUCUAGAGUUUUAUAAGAGAAGGGGGCGAAUUUCUGGAGGAAAGUUGAUAUUUUGUGAUACUGGAAGGACGGGUAACGGCGAAGGCAACCUUUUAUGUAAAACUGACGUUGAGGGACGAAGCCUUGGGUAACGAGAAGG
rnacentral:rRNA from 1 species